AUUGAACGCUGGCGGCAGGCUUAACACAUGCAAGUCGAGCGGGGUGAUGGUGCUUGCACUAUCACUUAGCGGCGGACGGGUGAGUAAUGCUUAGGAAUCUGCCUAUUAGUGGGGGACAACAUCUCGAAAGGGAUGCUAAUACCGCAUACGUCCUACGGGAGAAAGCAGGGGAUCACUUGUGACCUUGCGCUAAUAGAUGAGCCUAAGUCGGAUUAGCUAGUUGGUGGGGUAAAGGCCUACCAAGGCGACGAUCUGUAGCGGGUCUGAGAGGAUGAUCCGCCACACUGGGACUGAGACACGGCCCAGACUCCUACGGGAGGCAGCAGUGGGGAAUAUUGGACAAUGGGGGGAACCCUGAUCCAGCCAUGCCGCGUGUGUGAAGGAGGCCUUAUGGUUGUAAAGCACUUUAAGCGAGGAGGAGGCUCUUUUGGUUAAUACCCAAGAUGAAUGGACGUUACUCGCAGAAUAAGCACCGGCUAACUCUGUGCCAGCAGCCGCCGUAA
rnacentral:rRNA from 1 species